rnacentral:rRNA from 1 species
UACGGAGGGUGCGAGCGUUGUCCGGAGUUACUGGGCGUAAAGCGCACGCAGGCGGUCGAUUAAGUUUGGAGUGACAGUUGGUGGCUUAACUGCCAAAGUGCUUCGAAAACUGAUCGACUUGAGGGCUUCAGAGGGACACGGAAUUCCGGGUGGAGUGGUGAAAUGCGUAGAGAUCCGGAGGAACACCGAAGGCGAAGGCAGUGUCCUGGGGAGUACCUGACGCUCAGGUGCGAAAGCCAGGGGAGCGAACGGG